rnacentral:rRNA from 1 species
UACGUAGGGUGCAAGCGUUGUCCGGAAUUAUUGGGCGUAAAGAGCUUGUAGGCGGUUUGUCGCGUCUGCUGUGAAAUUUCGGGGCUCAACCCCGAACUUGCAGUGGGUACGGGCAGACUAGAGUGUGGUAGGGGAGACUGGAAUUCCUGGUGUAGCGGUGAAAUGCGUAGAUAUGUGGAGGAACACCGAUGGCGAAGGCAGCUUGCUGGGCUUCUUCUGACACUGAGGUACGAAAGCGUGGGGAGCGAACAGG